rnacentral:rRNA from 1 species
CGCGUAGGCGGGAGCGCAAGUCAGAUGUGAAAUUCCGGGGCUCAACCUCGGAGCUGCAUUUGAAACUCCAUUCCUAGAGGAUAGACGGAGAAAGCGGAAUUCUACAAGUAACGGUGAAAUGCGUAGAUAUGUAGAAGAACACCCGUGGCGAAAGCGGCUUUCUAGUUUAUUCCUGACGCUGAGGCGCGAAAGCUAGGGGAGCGAACA